rnacentral:tRNA from 1 species
GGACCUGUAGCUCAGUUGGUCAGAGCAAUCGGCUCAUAACCGAUUGGUCGGGGGUUCAAAUCCCUCCAGGUCCACCA